rnacentral:rRNA from 1 species
GCCCUACGGGACGCAGCAGUGGGGGAUAUUGCACAAUGGGGGAAACCCUGAUGCAGCGACACCGCGUGGGUGAAGAAGCGCUUCGGCGUGUAAAGCCCUAGCAGUGGGGAAGAAGAUGACGGUACCUGACUAAGAAGCCCCGGCUAACUACGUGCCAGCAGCCGCGGUAAUACGUAGGGGGCAAGCGUUAUCCGGAUUUACUGGGGGUAAAGGGAGCGUAGACGGCGGUGCAACGCAGAUGUGAUAGACCGGGG